AAGAGGGAGAAGGGGAGCCCGCCUGAGCCUGGCGCCGCACUCUUUUCCCGCUCUCCGCUCGGCCAGCCGCUCGCCUUCGGGUUUCUGCCGCCUUCCUGGAUGGGAUUUCAGCUCCCCGGGAAGGAUCCCCACCCGUCCACUCGCGCCUCCGGGGAGAGGCGGGAAAAGCAACUCCCCCGGGGAGGGAGGCGUCGGCACCGCAGCCCCGCACCGCGCGGAAGAAGCGCGCCAGGAGGAGGACCGGCCUCUCCCUCGACGUAGCGGCUCCUCGUUACUCGGCGUUUGCCUUUUCUCCUCGCCUCCCUUCACAGCCCGCCCCGGCGCCUCAAGAGGACGCGCCUGCCCGGGAUCGUAGCAGCGCUCCCGGGCUUGGGGCAGAUGCGGGAGGCUGCUCUUGCGACGGGGACGGGGCGGGCUGGGCGGCUGCCUGCGUGAGGGACCCUCGGCGGCCAGAAGAGGUCCUGGAACGGGGACGGGGCGCCCGACCUCUCGCCCGUCUGUGGACCUUGCACCCCGCAGGAGCAAGGCGUGGGGUGGAGAAACAGUGUCCCCCCCUCACCGAAAGGACGCGCCAUCUGCCGCCUCAUCGGGACGUGGGCGCUUUCUCCCCGCUGCCUGCCUGCUUGCCCGCCCCAGCCACGCAGAUGGUUCCCCGCGCUUUCAGGGGAGAAGGAGAGCGAGGUGCCGUCGAAUCGCCCGCCUGAAGCAGCAGCAGCAGCAGCAGCAGCUAGCUAAGCCAGCGACCUGGAGAACUACGAGCAGACUGGCUGCGCUGAAGGAAGAAUUUCCUCCGCCCGCUUUAUUCCCCGGGAAAGGGAGCAGAAUGGAGGGAGGCAAACUGGCCGAAAGUGGCCCCGCGUGCUGAAAGCAAAGCAAACUAACCACAAAUGGAAUAACAGAGCGCGGGGAGAUCUCUCUGCAAUAGUCCGGAGUUGUUGCUCUUUUCUUUUCCUUUCCUAAAAAAAAAAAUCUCUCUUGAGUGGAUCGGGGCGUCGCUGAGCAGCCAAAGGGUGGAGAGCAGCGCGGGGCUGCGGGACUAACUUGCUUUUUCCGAGGGGCGAAAGAAAAAGAGAGAAGCUUGAAAGCGGCGUUUUUCUCUCGCGCACCCCCCCCCUUUUAACGUUUUGUACGGUUGUGGUUUGGAAACCGUGCAAAGCAGAUCUAUAGCACAACCCCAAAUUCCCCCCCCCCCGCCCCCGUUGGCCUUCUGGUUUGUUUUGAACUCGCCUCCGAAUCUUAUUUAGACACAUAAAAGUAGCCCGCUCUCUUUUGAACCAGCUCUCUCUCCUCUCUCUCCCGCCCCCAUGCCACUGGAUGCUGCAGGCGAAUUUGGGAUUUGUAAGCGAUGCAAGUCCGAUAAAGCUGGAGUUUCCCUCCGGGACCUGAAGGAGGAUCGCUAGGUGGUUCCUUAAGGAAGCGGGUCUGCAGGAUGAAUAAAAGAUACUUACAGAAAGCCACAAAAGGAAAACUGCUAAUAAUAAUAUUUGUUGUAACACUGUGGGGCAGAAUAGCAUCUGGGGCAAACCACCACAAAGCUCACCAUGUUAAAACUGGAACUUGUGAAGUGGUGGCUCUCCACCGAUGUUGUAAUAAGAACAAGAUAGAAGAAAGAUCGCAGACCGUCAAGUGCUCCUGCUUCCCCGGGCAGGUAGCAGGUACCACACGAGCAGCUCCUUCUUGCGUUGAUGCUUCAAUAGUGGAACAAAAAUGGUGGUGCCACAUGCAGCCAUGUCUUGAAGGGGAAGAAUGCAAAGUUCUUCCAGAUCGGAAAGGAUGGAGUUGUUCUUCCGGCAAUAAAGUGAAAACAACAAGGGCAAACGUGUAAAACCCUUCAAGAACAAGGAGAUUUCUGCUGUGCCUGGUGACAAUUUCUGUUUAUUCCACAUACACACACACACAAUAUUCUGGCUCCACGUUUGGGGCAAUAGUUGUCAUGAAUCCUACUAUUGGUCGGAUUCUCAGGAAGGGCCAGAAGGUUCGUUGAGGAGUAAAGAGUCAAAACCUCUCCCGAAAGAUGUUCCAGCCUUGCUUUGUUACUCACAGAGCAGCAGGUUUAGGCUUUAACAGUGGUACCUUUGUUCCUGAACGCCCCCAUUGUUGUACGUUUCGGUUCUCGAAGGCUGAAAACCCGGAAGUAAAUGCUUCCGUUUUUGAACAUUUUUCGGAACCCGAACGUGCGACGCGGCUUCCGCCAAGUGCAAGAAGCUCUUGCAACCAAUGGGAAGCUGCACCUCAGUUUUCAAACGUUCCGGAACGGAUUACGUUCGAGAACCAAGGUAACUCGAUAGCAAAAGACAAAUCAGAUCACACUCGAGGCUGAUAACAUUAAAUACAGCCAAGUAGGAAGUUUUAAUAUCCAACUUAACAAUCCUCGAGGUCAGGCUUGAGACUGCUGGGGCAUACUAAUUAUUUCAAAAAGAACAUUCGCUGUAAUCAGCAGCCACUUGAGAUCAAAAUGGCUGGAAAGUCACACACACGAGAUUUCGACGGAGUGAACUGUGUACAUUUGUAAAAAAUAGCAAAAACAUGAAGGGAUAUACGACCGAAGAAGUGAUACUUAAAGGACGCCGAAGAAAUAGCAAUCCUUUGGAUCCUUGCAUUGAGACUUGUGACGUUUCACCUCGAUGAAAGCAGUAUACUUUGAAAUGUACUGAUCCAUUUCCUCCGAAACUUUCCUGGUCCUCCAUGCAAAUUAUUGGUGGGACUGUGCACUGCUGUAAUCAAACCACUGUUCCAGAAAUUGUCCUCUGACACAGCACAGUUUUAGACACUUUUAAUUUGUAUUCUAAUCCUGAAGCUCCAAGGCUACAUAUUUCAACAUGUCGAAGUUGCUUUUCUUAUAGGAAUGGAAAUACUAUAUAUCCAUCGUUAAUCAUUAUUGUUGGCAAGUAGUAGUUAUCUGAAUACGUCACCCAUAUACGAAUGUAUCAUUAGUCAGACAUGUUUCCCUAUGACUAACCAACUACCGCAAUUCCUUUCGGACAAAUAAAGGGUGAUCGAGACAGAAUGUUCAAGCCCUUCCAAUAACAUGCUAUUAAAAUAAUCAGUUCCGUAUAAUUUCAAGAAGAUGGGUGUUUUUUGCAUACACUUUGGUUUAUUAUCAUUAGGUCCUACAAAGAUUAUGGUAAAGAAUAAAUGGCGCUAGCUAGUCCCUUCAUGAAAAUAGACGGGUGCAUGUUAAUUUUUCCAUUCUGAGGUUCAAUGGUAUUCAUUCAGAUACGUUUUUUAGGUUUUUGGUUUUCUGUGCUUGAAAAAAAUAUUACUAUCUGGAUGCUUAAGUAGAUGUCUGUUUCUUGAUAGGACGAAAUAGGUUUCUUCAAAUCUGGAAUCCAUUGAAGAUUUCCUUGGCCACUCCAGGUACAUUGGGAUCAUUCUGUAGUUAUUUUGUUAAACCAGAAGUUCUUUUCUAUCUCCUAUUUCAGUAUCUAUUUUUUAAUCUUGGUGAUCUACUGUUUCAUGAAAAAUCUUAAUGUUUAAAUGCCUUAAGCAGCUGUAAACUUUUUUUUCUAAGUUAUUACAGAAUGUAUAAUUUUAUAUUUCAUUUAAUAUAUUUACCAUGCUAUGUGGAAAUAUGAAGACAGAAUGAAUGGUUUCUUUUGCAUUCCAUACUGAUGUUGCAAGUUAGUCUUAGAGAAGGCAAAGAGAGAAAUUUCUACUCCAUUUGUUUUGGGAGGUAAUAUGAAAACUACACAAACUCAAUCCUAACAGAAAGAAUUAUGCCCAGAACCUCAAGUUGUUUCAAGUGGUUACUAAUAUUUAUGGGGAAAGGGAACUCUUUCCCAUUGUAACAAAUAUUUGGCGUGGCUAAUUAUAAAUAAAUUGGGUUCUAUGAUGAAUGAACACCCUAAGGUACUUUUUCCUGUCAUAUGAUACAAGAUUGUUCCACAACAAUUUCAUUACCUCUUGUAUUACGGCACUGGAUGAAAGAAAACGAAUGAUAGCUGAAAAUCAAUCUGAAAUGUAUAGUAUAUAAUUCUGCUACAGAGUAAUCCAAAUUUUUGCAGAAGGGGUAUCCUUGUUAAUUAAAUUUUAAUUAGGAUAAAUUGAUUGUAGCAUCAGUUAGCAGUCUUGAUAUUUUAACAGGAUUAAUAUUGUAUGGAUUUGUUUUUUAAAGGUAUGUGUAAUGGAGAAACACAGAAUUCAAAAAAUAUGAUUAAUUCCUUUGCUUGGGAUAGUAAAAAGUAUAAAUGUGUAAUUUUGUAGCAGUUAUGAGUUUGGCUUUAAUUUAGCCAAAAAAUCUACAACAUGCUUCUCAACAUCUUUCCCCCUUUGUGUUUAUUCUUAAAACCAACACUGAAAAUAUUGUAUUAUAUACAAGUGUAAGACAUGCAUAUCAAUAGGUGAAAAAUAAAUGGAUUUUCGAAUAUACUGAA